AUUGAACGCUGGCGGCAGGCCUAACACAUGCAAGUCGAACGAGUGGCGGACGGGUGAGUAAUGUCUGGGAAACUGCCUGAUGGAGGGGGAUAACUACUGGAAACGGUAGCUAAUACCGCAUACCCUCCGCUGUGCCCAGAUGGGAUUAGCUAGUUGGUGGGGUAACGGCCUACCAAGGCGACGAUCCCUAGCUGGUCUGAGAGGAUGACCAGCCAAGCUGGAACUGGGACACGGUCCAGACUCCUCCGGGAGGCAGCAGUGUGGAAUAAUGCACAAUGGCGGAAGGCCUGAUGCAGCCAUGCCGCGUGUAUGAAGAAGGCCUUCGGUUUGUAUAGUACUUUCAUCGGGGAGGCGUUACCCGCAGAAGAAGCACCGGCUAACUCCGUGCCAGCAGCCGCGGUAAUAC
rnacentral:rRNA from 1 species